CGGGAGGGGAACCCCUGCCAUGGCUGGUGAUGUCUCCUGCACCGAGAGCUGCCAUGUUCCUGGUACUUUGUCAGAACGAGCUUCCUGUUGGGAAGAAGUUCAGUGGUUAGGACAUAGGUGAUGCCGCUGCUCGUUGGAAUGCAUAGGCAAAUCAUUCAAAGUCGUGAAACCAGCAAUUUCACAGUCCAUGUAAUUCUGGUCCAAGUUCAGCCUGCACUUUGCGACUCAGAUGCAUAUGGGACAGGAAACAUCAACGCUCCUCAGUUUGCAACCCAAGAGGAUCCAAGGUCAGAGGUGAAAUCCACAUUCUUCCUCGCAGCCAGCAUGGCCCAGAUGCAACCUUGAGAUCCCAGCUGUCCUUGUUAUCAACGGCCGAAAGACUGCAAAGAAUCAGGAAGCGUCUGCAAAGAACCAGAGAGGACCUUACUGAAAAUCAAAAAGUACAGGAGUGGCAGGAGACUGAAAGGAGGCUCUGCCAGCAGAAUGCAGAUUGCCAGUGCCAAAGCACGGAGCGGCUCAUAAGCAUUAUGGAGUGCCAAACGGACUCAAUACAGAAUCAAGAUACCAAUUACUGAGCUGAACUCAUGGGCACUGGGUUCCCCUACUAUG